rnacentral:lncRNA from 1 species
AAUAAAAAUGAGAAAUGAAAUUGAACUAUAUUGCAAUAAAAAAUAAAAUGACGAAUGAUCUAAAUAUAUUUAGUUUAUUAUUAGAAUAGAAAUCUAGAUAUGCCUAAAAUUUUGACAGGAAGGUUUUCGUUAAAAGAGAUAAGCGUAAGCAAGAGUAAGGAGGAAAAGGGGUUUGUGAGAAAGGGUUUUGAAUUGUUUACUCUAGAAUUGACCAGUCCAAAAGUCAAAACCAGAUUAGCUCAUAAAUGAAUUAGAUCAUUUUUAUUUCAAAGUUAAAUGAGAAUCAAAAUCCAUUUUUUUUGUAAAAUAAACAAUAACUAUCAGAAUCAAUGAAUCUUAUUUCGAUUUCAGAGUCUAAAAUAAGUGAACCAAACGAAUCCCUUUAAUUAGAUGUAAGAUUUACACUCUGCUCAUCCUAAGGCCCAUAUUCUCAUUCUUUCUUAUUAACUUUUUUUCUUUGAAAAAACUUCAAAUACCAUCCCUAUAGUGUCAAGCCCCGGAUUACUCGUUUCCUCGGGCACGCCAAUAGACCCGCCGUAUACAUAGAAAUUUUUUCUGUAUACAAAGCGAAGCUGUAACUGUACUUGUAAUAAUACAACACUACAACCAAUAGUAUAGAGCUGCUAGAAAAAUGAACAAGAGUAUAUAAUAAA